CAAGAAAAAUAUAUAACAGGUGUUAGCUGAAUUAAGUUAAUCAUGUGAUUUUUACGGAUUUGUGUUCAUUUACGGAAAAAUACAACCGAUUAACUAACUCUUAUUAUGGAAAUGUACCAUUUGGCUGAGAUAACGUAAACAUGCCCAUCGACUAGCUUUUCUUCAAAAUCACUGGCAGCUGCCAAAAAUAAUAGACGUUUAGUGUCUGGAUUUAUUCCGAUUAAAUCACGUUUUGGCUUGUGUUUCGAUUUGGGCCCGGGUAAAAUAACAUCUGGUUCAAAACCGCCUCGAAAGAGUAAAAUUGCCAAAGCCGCGUCAUGUUGCCGGAAUAUAUUAAUUAGUGGAAACAAAUUGGCAUUUGUGAUAAGGUCGCAGCUUAAUAUCAGAAAAUCCACUUUGAUUUUGUCCCGAAUAUAGCGUAAACUAUCGGCUGUCCCGAAAUCACUGUCACUCGGUAUGCAAACAAAAUCAAAAUAUCUUUACAAAUUUUUUAUGCUUCACAAAAUCUAGAAGAUUAAAUUGAUUAUCAUUUUCAUUAUCUGCCUGACGGCCCAAGUUGGUAUUCAUUUAAAAAUUUAAAAAAACGAAACCAUGAGAGUUUCGCUAUAGGACAUUAGAAUGGGGAAAUUAGGGACAAAUUUGACGUAUGGCUGUUUGCAACGAUACAAUCAAUAACAAAACCAUACAAAUAACAUGCACAAAAGCCACAUUAUGUAAAAUUGUGGACGAAAUAAAAUGAAACAGAAUAUUAACCACCUUUAUGAGAAAACACAAAAAAAAAAAUUAAAAAUCGGCGCUAAAUAAGUUGCAUUGUUUUCCAAACUGGCGCGAAUACUUACACAUACCUGAAAUUCCAAUCAGUUGCGAAUGUUAAAGUGCAGGUAAUAUUGGCGAAUAAGUUAAAGCUUUUGCAAAUAAGUGCCAGGAGCGAAAAGUACAAUGGAAAUUAAAAAUGGCCUUAAGUCAUGUUAUGGCAAGUUACAGCAAGCCAAAGAAAAGAACGAUUUGAUUUGUUCGCGUGGAUGCUAACAUGAAGACCCAGAUUAAUUUCAUUCAAUUUCUCAUCUUCCUUAAUUCGUAUCUGUCUUUUCACUCUUCUAUUAAAAUACGUCAUCAAACUUAAAACAUACAAAAGCUUAAUUUAUAUUGAAGAAGUGAAGAAAAGGAAAAAAAUUAGGUAAAAAUAAGAAUAAUUUGUUUUUCAAAUAUCGAACUAAUUUAAACAAUGUUGAUUAAUGUGUAUUUCUAACACAAUGCAUCGUAACUUCCUUUUCUGCUCGUUCACUGAAAAUAAAAACAAUGACAAGCGCAACGGAGAAGGACGGAUCAGCAUGAGACGGGCGAGAAAGGCUUUGCAGGAUGCCCCUGACCCCCUAGCGCUACCUCAAAACGAAUUUGUGCAGAACUUCUGUGUUCCCAAAGCGGCUUCUCAUUAUGCUCUGGGGAAAGUUGGUAUGAGUCGUGGUAUGAAUGCAACAUAUAUAUGCCACCGGUGUUGCGCUUAGCCAUGACUUUGGAGUUAUGGCUUUCAGACGUUACCAAUGGCUGGCCCACAGCGACCAUACCAUAAGUGAUGCACAAAGCACGUUGCAUCAACCAUUGUAUCAGAGGUGUUACAAGAGUUGGAAAGGAGACUUCUACAUCUACUUCUACUACUUUUAUAUCUUUCUAAUCUUUUUCAGGUAAUAGUGGACAUCCUUUAAAGCCUUGCGGGUUUGCUUCAAAAAAAAAAAAAAAAAAAAAAUACAACGAAAAGCGAGUAAUUGGAAACAUGCAUUGCUUCAUUUGCGUGCACUAAAUAGUGACAGGAGCUCUUUUGGGCGACCUAUGAAGAUGAUGCUAUUGAUAUUUAUAUGGAAGCACCACAAUUGAUGCAUCUGGGUGAACAAGCUAGGGGAUUGCUGGCACAAGACUUAUAUAUAUAAUAAUAUCUUAAAAAUAUAAAUAAUUUUUAAACUUGCAACUCAUACAAAAGUUGUCAAAACUUAAAUAAAUACUGAGAAUAAAACAUU